UCACCCCCUACACUCUCAAGUGUGCCGCCGAGCUAUUGCUUUCCUUUGUCCCUGUGUUUUUACCCUUUUUUUUUUUUUGUAAACCUAACCCUAGCUCUCAAUGUUUGCCCCUGUGUUUUUCUCCUUCUCAUCGGCGUAAGCCUUCUUGCCUUUUCCGGAGUAGAAUCUCAGGUUUUGGGAUAGUUUUAAGCGGCGGUGUGGUGGUUGAUCAUAUACACUCCUCUAUAUCUCUCUAUCUAUCGAUUUGUGUGUGUUUCUAUCUUUUUUUUAUUUUCUUCUCUGAAUCUCUCUACAGAGAUCUUGAAUUGAUUGAUGAUUUUGUGUUUUACUAAUAGCUUCUCAAAGAAUUCUUGGAAUCAUUUGAUCCUACGUCUUCAUUCAUCCCAUGAAAUCUCGGCAAAUUAUUCUGAUAGUUCUCUUAGUAUGCAUACUCUGAGUUGUAGUAGGCCACUCAUUUUUUGCAAUUUUGCUCUAUCCUAAAAUUGUAUUCUUUCUAACCUUUUAUUCCUGUAAUCAGAUUGCCAUGAAGUGCAAUAUCUUCAUCAAAAUUUGUCAAUGAAAAAGACACCCUGUUGAAGUUGCUUCAUCUUUGUGGAGAUAGCAUGCCAUGACAGAAUCAUGAAAUCAAGGAAAUAAAUGAAGAGAAAAAAAAAUCAAUAGCUGCUCAGUUUGCAACAGAAGCUACAUUUAGGAUAGUUCAUGCGGAAAUAAAGGAUGAUAACAUGCCUCCAAUUGAAGCCAUUCUUGCACACCUGAAGGUAGAGCUUAAGCUUGACCGCCAAGAGCUGUAGGAUGAUAACAGAGCAUUGGAUUGGCUUACCAAAUCAAAAGAAGCAGCAUUACUUGAAUCAGAGAGAAUCGUGCAAAUAGCACUCACAAAAGCCUCUAUACUGGAUGAUCUACAAAAUAAGAACCAAGAAUUAAUGAAACAUAUUGAAAUCUAUCUGGUAAAAGAAUAGAACUUGGUUAUGGACCAUUCUAGCUUCUUAAGAUGUUUAUUUUUCCCCCAUGUUAAAGGUAUUGUGUUUUUAAAUGAUGCACACUGUUAGGAAACAGGCUUAGCUCCUUCAUACCAGUUCAUCAGUCACUUCCAAAUAAGGGUUUUUCAUCUUUUUAUGGA